rnacentral:rRNA from 1 species
UACGGAGGGAGCUAGCGUUGUUCGGAAUUACUGGGCGUAAAGCGCACGUAGGCGGCUUUGUAAGUUAGAGGUGAAAGCCCGGGGCUCAACUCCGGAACUGCCUUUAAGACUGCAUCGCUUGAAUCCGGGAGAGGUGAGUGGAAUUCCGAGUGUAGAGGUGAAAUUCGUAGAUAUUCGGAAGAGCACCAGUGGCGAAGGCGGCUCACUGGACCGGUAUUGACGCUGAGGUGCGAAAGCGUGGGGAGCAAACAGG